rnacentral:tRNA from 2 species
GUUUAAUUAGUUUACAUAAAAUUAUAAAUUGUGGAUUUAUAGAAGAAAUUAUUCAUUAGACA